GGGAAUUUCAGUAGAUUUCACUUGCGACGCCUACUGAUUUCUUUCUGCAUGUCUACUAAAGACACAGGAGUUCUGGUCAUUCAUUCUUACCUAUUAUAAUUCCUUCUUCCCACAUUAGCGGCAAUUCAAUGCAUGCAUCAGAUAACAACAUCUCAAAUACUUACUCUUCCGUCAGGACUUGACAGAUUUAGCAGGCCUUUGAGGAAUGUCAGCAUUGAUUAGUAACAGAUGGUCACCGAGGAGGAUGUGUCUCGCUUGUGGCAGUCAAGGAGGUUCAGCAGGUCAACAAUGGCUGCAGGAAAUCAUCAGGUCUUUUUUUGCAGCUACAGCAAUAUGAUGAAAUACCUAUAUUUCAGCAUUGCAGACACAUCUAAUAUCUUCCAGGUCCUCUUGUGACCUUCGUAAAGAAGAACUACGGUUUGUACCUGUGAUCCCAAGAGAAGCAAUGGAAAAUAAUCUUACCUAAAAUAAAAAUAUGAGCAUAUGGCUCACUGCCUCAAGAAAAUAUUCUUCUUACACAUUAGCCUUGUAAUCCAAACCCUAACUGUGUCAGUAAUGUACUACCAACUUCCCAAAUCAAGCAUAAUUUACAAAACAACACCAAUUGGUAUUUCAAGCUAUUUGAAAUGAGAAGAAAGAAGGAGCUGGAGAAGGACUUCUCUCUCCCUCACACAAAAAAUUGCAGUACAUAAUAAAUAUCUAUAUAUCCAUUAAAUAUCUAUGUAUCCAUAGUCUCCAUACUUUAUGUUCCCCAUCACUUAAGCAAACAAGAGAUAUUUGCAGAGGAAAUGAAACUUCUGUCCAGAGACACCAUUUCAUAUACAAUGGUCCUUGGUAUUUACUGGUAUCUACUUAGAUCCGUGGAUGCGUAGAUCCCAUUAUAUACAAAGCAAAAUUGUGUCCCUUAUAUAAAAUGGCUAGAUCAAGAUUUCAAGCUGUAUGUGGGAGAGAGAAUGGCUCUGUACUGAAGAUGUACAUCUUGAUUUACAGGAUUUAUUUUUACCCUGCCUUUCUCAACCCUGGAGAGGACUCAAGGUAGCUUACAGAUCCAACAAAAAUUUAAUGCUGCACAGGUAAACAAUAAAACACACUUCAAGCUGUUAACAUCUCAUUCCAUAGUUUCCUACAGAAUUUUUACUAGGUUAUGCUCAAUACUUUUUUUGCUACCUGAACCAAAGAUGUUAUCUCCACUCUCCAUGUACAGAAGGAAACUAAACUGGCCAUUGACUGUUACUUCAACAGUGGUAAUGGGGGAGUAUUCUCUGUUGUCUAAGGAAGUAAUGGACUAGUUCUUGAGAGACCAUGUAGCACAGGGAAACUUGGGUCUUCCAGGUGUUUUGGACUUAAACUCCCAGAAAUCCCAGCCAGUUUACUGGGUGUUAGGAAUUGUGGGAGUUAAAGUCCAAAACACCUGGAGGGCCAAAGUUUGCCCAUGCCUGAUGUAGCAUAGACACCUUUGUCCUCCAGUAGGAUAAUGGCCAGGGGAUUGAAGGAAAAAGGCUGGGUGAUGGUUGUGAUGGCUACUUCAUCAGCAGUUAUGGCUAGUGCCUCACUCUACCCAAAGUUUGAUUAGCCAUUUUAUUA